rnacentral:rRNA from 1 species
UACGGAGGGGGCGAGCGUUAUUCGGAAUUAUUGGGCGUAAAGAGCGCGCAGGCGGCUGGUCAAGUCCGAUGUGAAAUCUCCCGGCUCAACUGGGAAACUGCAUCGGAAACUGAUCGGCUUGAAGAUGGGAGAGGGUAGUGGAAUUCCCGGUGUAGUGGUGAAAUGCGUAGAUAUCGGGAGGAACACCAGUGGCGAAGGCGACUACCUGGCCCAUUCUUGACGCUGAGGCGCGAAAGCUAGGGGAGCGAACGGG